rnacentral:rRNA from 1 species
GACGAACGCUGGCGGCGUGCUUAACACAUGCAAGUCGAACGGAAAGGCCCUGCUUUUGUGGGGUGCUCGAGUGGCGAACGGGUGAGUAACACGUGAGUAACCUGCCCUUGACUUUGGGAUAACUUCAGGAAACUGGGGCUAAUACCGGAUAGGAGCUCCUGCUGCAUGGUGGGGGUUGGAAAGUUUCGGCGGUUGUGGAUGGACUCGCGGCUUAUCAGCUUGUUGGUGAGGUAGUUGCUUACCAAGGCUUUGACGGGUAGCCGGCCUGAGAGGGUGACCGGCCACAAUGGGACUGAGAUACGGCGCAGACUGCUACGGGAGGCAGCAGUGGAGAAUAUUGCACAAUGGGCGGAAGUCUGAUGCAGCAACGCCGCGUGCGGGAUGACGGCCUUCGGGUUGUAAACCGCUUUCGCCUGUGACGAAGCGGGAGUGACGGUAAUGGGUAAAGAAGCACCGGCUAACUACGUG